CCUACGGGGGGCUGCAGUGGGGAAUAUUGGACAAUGGGGGCAACCCUGAUCCAGCCAUGCCGCGUGUGUGAAGAAGGCCCUCGGGUUGUAAAGCACUUUCAGUGAGGAAGAACGCCUGGUGGUUAAUACCCAUCAGGAAAGACAUCACUCACAGAAGAAGCACCGGCUAACUCCGUGCCAGCAGCCGCGGUAAUACGGAGGGUGCGAGCGUUAAUCGGAAUUACUGGGCGUAAAGCGCGCGUAGGUGGCUUGAUAAGCCGGUUGUAAAAGCCCCGGGCUCAACCUGGGAACGGCAUCCGGAACUGUCAAGCUAGAGUGCAGGAGAGGAAGGUAGAAUUCCCGGUGUAGCGGUGAAAUGCGUAGAGAUCGGGAGGAAUACCAGUGGCGAAGGCGGCCUUCUGGACUGACACUGACACUGAGGUGCGAAAGCGUGGGUAGCAAACAGGAUUAGAUACCCUAGUAGUC
rnacentral:rRNA from 1 species